rnacentral:lncRNA from 1 species
GCUCUCUUUUGGGCUGACUGAUCUCAUGCAACACCCAAAGGGAAAGACAGUUCAUCAGUCCUCUCAGCUCCAUGACUCCCACUGUUGUCCAAAAGAAGGCUUGCUGCUGUGCAGUCCUCAGGCAUAGAUGGACUUACAGGCUUUAACAGGAGGUCUGCUAAGAGAAGCAUGGAGCUGCUGUUCAGAGAAAUCUGCAUCCGUUGGCUGGCUCCAAAGCACUCCUGACUGCAGACAGGAAUGGAGGAUGUUGAGGUUAACAUGUGUGGGAUACUGAAAUGCUAGUUUCCAUUGUGAAGGAAAUAUCUCUCACUACCAAAAAUUUAAAAGAAAAAAAAUCUGAAGAUCAUAAAUAAAGUUAUUCCAAGCUGAA